GGAAGGAUCAUUAUCGAGUUAGGGUCCUCGUGGCCCGACCUCCAACCCUGUGUAUAUCGACCACGUUGCUUUGGCGGGCCCGCCUCGCGGCCGCCGGAGGUCCUCCCGUCCUCUGGCUUGAGCCCGCCAAUGGCCCCUAACCCAAUACAUUUUAACCGCGACGUUCUGAGCAAACUUUAAAUGAUGCAAAAACUUUCAACAACGGAUCUCUUGGUUCUGGCAUCGAUGAAGAACGCAGCGAAAUGCGAUAAGUAAUGCGAAUUGCAGAAUUUAGUGAGUCAUCGAAUCUUUGAACGCACAUUGCGCCCUUUGGCAUUCCGAGGGGCAUGCCUGUCCGAGCGUCAUUAUCAACCAUCAAGCCCGGCUUGCCGUUGAGCUCGCCCCCUCCGGGCCGGCUUGAAAGACAGCGACGGGGUCGACGGCACCCGAGAUGCAACGAGCCCUCCACGGCACGCAUCGAGACGGCCGGCGGCCCUGGUUCCCCCCUUUCUCUCUCUCCAGGUUGACCUCGGAUCAGGUAGGAGUACCCGCUGAACUUAAGCAUAUCAAUAAGCGGAGGAAAAGAAACCAACAGGGAUUGCCCCAGUAACGGCGAGUGAAGCGGCAACAGCUCAAAUUUGAAAUCUGGCCCUCGCGGGUCCGAGUUGUAAUUUGUAGAGGAUGUUUCGGGCACCGCCCCGGUCUAAAUUUCUUGGAACAGAAUGUCAGAGAGGGUGAGAACCCCGUCCUGGAUCGGCGGUAGGGCCCGUGUGAAACUCCUUCGACGAGUCGAGUUGUUUGGGAAUGCAGCUCAAAAUGGGUGGUAAAUUUCAUCUAAAGCUAAAUACCGGCCAGAGACCGAUAGCGCACAAGUAGAGUGAUCGAAAGAUGAAAAGCACUUUGAAAAGAGAGUUAAACAGUAUGUGAAAUUGUUGAAAGGGAAGCGCUGGCAACCAGACUUGAGCCUGACGGUUCCCCCUUCGUUCGCGUUGGGUCAUUCCGUCUCGUCCAGGCCAACAUCGGUUCGGGCGGCCGGUUAAAGGCCCCGGGAAUGUAUCAACCCUGCGGGGAUGACUUAUAGCCCGGGGCGUCAUGCGGCCUGCCGGGACCGAGGAACGCGCUUCGGCACGGAUGUUGGCGUAAUGGUUGUCAGCGGCCCGUCUUGAAACACGGACCAAGGAGUCUAACAUCUACGCGAGUGUUUGGGUGUCAAACCCGUGCGCGCAAUGAAAGUGAACGGAGGUAAGAACCCUCGCGGGUGCAUUAUCGACCGAUCCUGAUGUCUUCGGAUGGAUUUGAGUAAGAGCGUAGCUGUUGGGACCCGAAAGAUGGUGAACUAUGCCUGAAUAGGGUGAAGCCAGAGGAAACUCUGGUGGAGGCUCGCAGCGGUUCUGACGUGCAAAUCGAUCGUCAAAUUUGGGCAUAGGGGCGAAAGACUAAUCGAACUAUCUGGUAGCUGGUUCCUGC
rnacentral:misc_RNA from 1 species